rnacentral:rRNA from 1 species
AUUGAACGCUGGCGGCAUGCCUUACACAUGCAAGUCGAACGGUAACAGGUCUUCGGAUGCUGACGAGUGGCGAACGGGUGAGUAAUACAUCGGAACGUGCCCGAUCGUGGGGAUAACGCAGCGAAAGCUGUGCUAAUACCGCAUACGAUCUACGGAUGAAAGCGGGGGACUCGCAAGGGCCUCGCGCGGACGGAGCGGCCGAUGGCAGAUUAGGUAGUUGGUGGGAUAAAAGCUUACCAAGCCGACGAUCUGUAGCUGGUCUGAGAGGACGACCAGCCACACUGGGACUGAGACACGGCCCAGACUCCUACGGGAGGCAGCAGUGAGGAAUUUUGGACAAUGGGCGCAAGCCUGAUCCAGCCAUGCCGCGUGCGGGAAGAAGGCC